AUUGAACGCUGGCGGCAGGCCUAACACAUGCAAGUCGAACGCGUGGCGGACGGGUGAGUAAUGUCCGGGAAACUGCCCGAUGGAGGGGGUUAACUACUGGAAACGGUAGCUAAUACCGCAUAUCAUCGGAUUUGCCCAGAUGGGAUUAGCUAGUAGGUGGGGUAACGGCUCACCUAGGCGACGAUCCCUAGCUGGUCUAAGAGGAUGACCAGCCACACUGGAACUGCGACACGGUCGAUGAACCUACGGGAAGCAGCAUUGGGGAAUAUGGCACAAUGGGCGCAAGCCUGAUGCAGCCGUGCCGCGUGUAUGAAGAAGGCCCUAGGGUUGUAAAGUACUUUCAGUCGGGAGGGGUUGCAGACAGAAGAAGCACCGGCUAACUCCGUGACAGCAGCCGCGGUAAUAC
rnacentral:rRNA from 1 species